rnacentral:lncRNA from 1 species
GCCUCAGCUCCGAGCCGGCGACAGCCACCUCAGCAGCCCGCUGGCGCCGGCUCCGCGGGCCGGGUCGCGGCCCCCCCUCCGCUCCUGGCCCCGCCCUGCCCUUCUUCGCUCCGCCCCGUCCCCGCUUCGCUCCGCCCCCACGCCCGGCCCAGAUCCUCCGGCGCGUCCGAGCGAAACCCGGCAGCCGAGGGGGUGGGGUCCCCGCCCUCGGCCGCCAUUGGCUAUGAGUCCACGCCGCCGCGCCCCCUUGGCCAAUUGACGACAGCUGUGGGCUGGACCGCCCUGGUAGCGACCCGCCCCCAGGUCAGCGACGCGGCUCUCCAUUGGGCGAAGGAGGUUGACGCAAGGCUGCAGGCCACGUGGUAGUGUUUUCAUUGCCAGAGGCUGCGAAGCGGAAGUCCGGAAGAACCAGUGCAACUGAGGCCCGACCUGGUGGCCACCUUCUGGAAUCUGCGGUGGAGCUGCGGCUGAGGGGGCGGGCGGACGCGCUCCGUCCCACCCCACCCAGACCCCUGUCGCACGUAGCUCUCCGUCUAUUAAACUUACAGAGGGACACGGGCCAAAGGCAAGGCUGGCAGACCUUGGAAUCAAGGGCAGAAGGCCUCUGGAGAAGGGACAGCCACACAGAAACUACAGCGGAACAAGUGUCACUUCCGAAAUGCAAUUUACAAGUUGUUACUCUCACAGCGGCGCGGAGGCACUGAAAGAGCGUUUGCACCGUUUGGAACCCGCGGAUGCUGUUUGGUUUUUCAGAACAGCUGUCUCGGUGACCUCUCCCCGGGCUCAACUCUCCCCUGCCCGCUUCCCUUUUUGUCUUUUAAAGCCCCAGCAUAUGAGGAUUUGGCAGCUAGAACAAAGUUGAGCACCACUGACACAGGAAAUGGUCCACGGCUGGACUGGCGCCUGAAUGUAGCUGAAUGGGGACACACACACCCGGCCCUUAGCAGAGAAGCAGUUGUCACUCAAAGCGCUGAGCUCCAUGGCACUGGCUUCCUCGGCUCCCCGUUCUAAGUGUCUUGACUGUGUUAGGAAGGUAACAGUAGUGGUGGGACACGGUACAACUCAGUCUUUGUUUCAGUUUUUAAAAAAAAAAUGUUUAUUUUUGAGACAGAGACAGAGUAUGAGCGACGGGGGGGCAAAGAGAGAGGGAGACACGGAAUCCAAAGCAGGCUCCAGGCUCUGAGCGGUCAACACAGAGCCCGACGUGGGGCUCGAACCCACCAAAUGUGAGAUCGUGACCUGAGCCAAAGUCGGACAUCCAACCCACUGAGCCACCCAGGUGCCCCUAUAACCCAGUCUUAACCUUGUAGUUUGGGUGGCUCUUCAGGAAGAGGAAGAGGUAGGAAGUCAACUGGCACUUAACUCACUGUAUCCCGCGCUGUGCUGGGCACUUUGUAUACAUUCUGCAAAGGAGAGUGAGUGGUUUUCCAUCGCUGUCUGGGUGUGGGCCACACUACCUGUGUGGUCUUGGGCACGUCGCUGGACGCUUUGCCUCAUUUUCCUUUGGUAACGCUGGCAACCAGACCUACACCACUGGGUUACUAUGAGGAUUAAGUUAAUUAUUGUGCGUGAAGCUCUUCGUGCCAGGAACAUGUGUGCCAUUAUUAGCUUUAUUAGCUCAUUUUAACACAGCCCUGCUUAUCCUUUUAUGAUCUAGGAAACCGAGGCUCAUGGAGAUUAAGUCAAUUACCGGAGAUGGCAGAGCCUGAAACCAAACUCAGAUUUAUCUGACUGCCGUGUUUUCUUCUCAUAACAUGACCGGGCCUGCUUGAUGCUAUCGAAUUCCCUCUUCUGCUUGCCAGCUUCGGGUUCAGUGUAUUAGCCCUUCUUUGUACCGACAGGGGUGAAAUCCUAUACGACUCAAGCUCUGUCUUUAAUCCCCCGUUUCACCCAUCCCCGGCGGUCAACAAGCCAGGGAGUGGGCGGGAGGAGACACUUUCCUUCUAUUUUUCCCUCCUGUGGGCCUAAUCUGCCCUUCUGAUGGUGCCUGUGCUGCCUCUGGUUUUCCAAA